CCGGCGGCGGCGCGCGCCCAUUGGCCGCGGGCGCCUUUGUGUGCGCGGCGGCUGCGCUCGGCUCCCAUUCGAGCGUCGGAGGGGCCGGCGGGACCGAGCCGGGCCGCCGCCCGCGCGCGCCACAAAGGCCGCAGCAUGGUCCUGGUGCACGUCGGCUACCUGGUGCUGCCCGUCUUCGGCUCCGUGCGCAACAGAGUUGCCGAUGUAAAGCUCUCCGUAGAGACAUUACCCCGCUGAACCGUAAUGUGCUGUAGCCUGUACAUCUGCUCCGUGUACGCCGCUUUUGUUCUGUUGCCCCUCCAUGGCAUGGUGGGCCUUGCCUUCUCGUAUUGUGUGCAUGACGACAUUGUUACACACGACUCCACUAAUACUAAUCUACGAUCUUCUCAAUAAAGAAACUAGUUUUUUCCUCUAUUAA